UACGUAGGGUGCGAGCGUUAAUCGGAAUUACUGGGCGUAAAGCGUGCGCAGGCGGCGCGUUAAGACAGGUGUGAAAGCCCCGAGCUUAACUUGGGAAUUGCGCUUGUGACUGGCGAGCUGGAGUGUGGCAGAGGGAGGUGGAAUUCCACGUGUAGCAGUGAAAUGCGUAGAGAUGUGGAGGAACACCGAUGGCGAAGGCAGCCUUCUGGGCCAACACUGACGCUCAUGCACGAAAGCGUGGGGAGCAAACAGG
rnacentral:rRNA from 1 species